GUGCAAUAUUUAUUUUUAUUUCUAUGUUUUGAGCAUAAUUUCUUUGAUCAUUAAAAACUGCAGAUCGCUGCAGAUUGCUGCAGACGCUGAAUAGGGUGCAUAUUGUAGACUUUUCACUGACGACAACUUUUUGGGUGGACGUUGGAGCUAAACGUUAAUUGCAUGUUGCAGCGUUUUUAAGUAAACUAUGAUCAUUGUGACCAUUGUGACCAUUGUGACGGCGGGAAGCAUUCUGUGAAAACAUGAGAAAAAACAGUAAUACAAGAAUUGUUGGGAAACAUGUAAUAUUGGUGCCUUACAAGACAGAACAUGUUCCGAAGUACCAUGGCUGGAUGAAGUCACCCGAACUGCAACAGUUGACUGCAUCUGAACCGUUGUCUCUUGAGGAAGAGUAUGAAAUGCAGAGCAGUUGGUUGAUGGAUGAAGACAAGUGUACCUUCAUCAUUCUAGAAAAGUCUGCAUUUGAAAACACAGGAGAUGAAAUUGGUGCUAUGAUUGGAGAUACAAAUCUCUUUUUCUUCCAGUCUGAGGACUGCAUGAAGUUGGCUGAAGCAGAAAUUAUGAUAGCCGAAAACAGCGCUAGAAGAAAGAGACGUGGAUGGGAAGCAAUGCUACUUAUGUUACGUUAUGGUUGUGAGGAAUUGGCUAUAGAAAAAUUCCAGGCAAAAAUAAGCUGUGUCAAUGAAAAGAGUAUAUUAAUGUUCCAGAAAAUGGGAUUUGUAAAAAUUAGUGAAAGUGCAGUAUUUAAAGAAGUAACACUGGAAAAAUGUGUCAAUGAAACCUGGAGACACUGGUUAAUGGCAGAAACACAAGGAUCACAAUACAUUCAAACUGGAGAAGAAGAGGAUAUAAAAUCUGAUUGUGUAUUCAAGAAACAACACAUGCUGUAAAGUAAAGUCCCAGUGCUUUACUAAUGAAGCACUGGGCCAUGAAGACAUGUGGGGCAAUGGAUCCAUGCAUUCUUCAUCUUGGCACUAGAUGGAGGAACCAAUUGCAUCAAUUUCCACAGUCAAAGUGCAUGCCAAAGAAGUAAGCAAGCAGCAAGCUUACACUUCAGUACUGAAGAUGGAGUCAGUAUGUUCCUCUGAAGCUGCAGUACAUGUCUACCAGAUUACAUGGCAUCACACCCCCCAAGAACACAACUGUGACACACUCGAAUCUGUGUCGUUAUUUCUUAAACAUUUUGUUUAAUUUCAGACAUUUUGCUAUCAUUAUGUGAUACACUCCAUUUAAUCAUGGAAAGCUGCCAAAACAAUCUAUAACAUGUGAAUCCAUGGAUGACCAAAAUCUGCUCAGUUUGGAACUAGAGUGGGAGGUCUCUGAUAACUGUCACACAAAGAGUUACUGAAUCCAGGUUCUGCAACCAGUGGGGUGUUAGGGAUUUAUAUCCUGCGAGAUGAGCGAGAGAAACAUGAUGGCAAUACUGCUUCCACAGUCUCUGCAAUGUAGUCUUUAAGGAAGGCUCUCAUCAGAGUUGGUGUGACACUCAUUAAAGUGUCAGACAGGCUUCAUACCCAGAAAAAAAAAGUUUUGGCCUACCACCAGAGGCCAGACACUGAAAUACAUGGGGCAAUCCAAAAGUUUCUGAAAUUUGAAUUUUUCACGCAAAUGGUCAUGAGUACAUCGAAAUACC